CAGGAUGAACGCUGGCGGCGUGCUUAACACAUGCAAGUCGAACGGAGUAAUAUGAAGUUACGGACAGAUUAUACUAGUGGCGGACGGGUGAGUAACGCGUGGGUAACCUACCUCAUACAGGGGGAUAACAGUUGGAAACGACUGCUAACACCGCAUAACAAGUUGGGACCGCAUGAUCCUAACUUCAAAUAUUUAUAGGUAUGAGAUGGGCCCGCGUCUGAUUAGCUAGUUGGUGGGGUAAUGGCCUACCAAGGCGACGAUCAGUAGCCGGCUUGAGAGAGUGACCGGCCACAUUGGGACUGAGACACGGCCCAAACUCCUACGGGAGGCAGCAGUGGGGAAUAUUGGACAAGUGGGGGCAACCCUGAUACCCAGCGACGCCGCGUGAGUGAAGAAGUAUUUCGGUAUGUAAAGCUCUAUCAGCGAGGGAAGAUAAUGACAGUACCUGACUAAGAACGCCCCGGCUAACUACGUGCCAGCCGCCGC
rnacentral:rRNA from 1 species